rnacentral:rRNA from 1 species
UACGUAGGGGGCAAGCGUUGUCCGGAAUCAUUGGGCGUAAAGCGCGUGUAGGCGGCCCAGUAAGUCCGCUCUGAAAGCCCGGGGCUUAACCCCGGGAGGCGGGUGGAUACUGCUGGGCUCGAGUCCGGAAGAGGCGAGUGGAAUUCCCGGUGUAGCGGUGAAAUGCGCAGAUAUCGGGAGGAACACCAAUGGCGAAGGCAGCUCGCUGGGACGUGACUGACGCUGAGACGCGAAAGCGUGGGGAGCAACAGGG